AAUUAAAAAAAUGCAAAAAAUGUGCUACUGAUAAUUUUUCACAGGAUUGUGAUUUUUGUUUGUUUACCAUCAUUUGAUUUUGUUCUUUUUCUUCUCUAACAUCACCUGAUUGGGCAGUCUUCCUGUCUGUGCAAUUACUUGCAAACAUACAGACCAUGCGUGCAUGAAGGCUUGCGGGAUCCAGCUUAGCUCUCUUUAAGAAAUUCCACUUUCACACACACAUCAGAUUUUCUGCCACAAGAUGCUAUUGUAUGCAUCCUAAAAAUUGCUAUUUAAGAUACAAAACUUGAUAAUUCCUGGUAAGGUCAAUGAGAAUUGCUGAUGCUUAAUUUCUCAUAGAGAGGUACCAAAGCAAGGUAUUUUCUGUGUAGCUGAACCCCAUUAGUAUUACGGAGAUAAUGGCAUGUGCACUGGAAGGAAAAUAGCCGGCUCAAAGAUGAGAGGAGACCACAUUUUUACGUAAUCAGCAGUUCAGCUAUUGAUUUUUUUUAAAGUAAGGCUUCAGCUGAAACCUUUCAGCAGGUGCUGUAACACAGAGCUUCGGGCAGAAGCUGAAUUUCAGGAAAUCAGAUGGAAUCUUAAUUCUACCUUAGAUUUCUGGCUGACCAUUUGUGGACUGCUAAGCACUGUUUCAAGUGACUUGAACCUGAAUUGCAGAUAGUGAACAGAUCACAAAUGGCAAAUGUCAUUUUUUUUAAACAACUCUGGCUGCUAUUUUAUCUGGAAAUCUUUUUUUUUUUAAGAUUCCAGCUUCAUCUGGUUGGGUCAACUCAAAUGCAAUUAAAUUCAAGAGAGCUAAACUCCAUUUUUAGUGUUCACAUCAAUUAGUAGAUCAAGUUAAAGACAGGUAGACACAUCUAGGAGCUUAUUUUGAUCUGCAAACUCAUGUCAAGGUUGCAGACUGUCUGGACUCGAGUGUUACUUUGUUAUUUAACUUGACUUCAUAACUCAAAGUGAAAACUUAAGUCUCAUUCUUGCAAAUACAAGAGACUAUUGUUGCUGAUCUCCACCCUCUAGAGUCUGAUAUCCCUCAGUCAACAGGGUUGAAAUUCUGGCCUUGCUGAAAUUGAUGACAAAACUAUUAACAUCCAUGGGGCCAGAAUGUAACUUGAAGAAUCUUUCUCAAACCAGAAAAGUCCUUCUAUGUUCAAGAAACUUUUAGACUGUGACCAGCUAUGUGGCAGACUUCUGUUAACUCUGGGGUGAUUUACAGCAACAAAAAUGUCUGCAAGAUGCGCUUUGCUGAAGCGUGCAGCAGGAGUGCUCAGCAUGCAGGAGUGCCAUUCAUUGUAGUCAGACACACUCUUUGAAAUCAUAUGCUCCCAGCAGAUUAGUAAGAGUUUUAAUCUCAAAAGACAAAUCUGCCCCACCAUUGAAUUCAUGGAGAGCUGCAUUCCUCACGCAUGAGUAUAUGAAAACCUUGUUGUCCCGGCUGCACUGCUAAGGACUUCACAGGGCAAUGUGUGUGUCCUCCUCACAAAGACAUUGUGCCAAACCAGAGCUUUCAUUUUUUCUCAAUUCAGAAUAAAAUUAUCAGGGUUUUGGUCCUGCACAGGCACACUUGUCCAGCAAGAGUAGACAAGAACCAGAAAUUUUUAGGAGCAGAAAGUGGCAACGGCAGAUAAUCACUGUUGAGAUAAAAAUUCUCAGCAACGCUCAACUCGCAGGAGAAUAAACUGGAAGUUUUGAUAAACAGCCCUCGCUCUGCUUUGAUGCCUGCCCACACAAAGCCACUGUUUUCUGUAAAACAUUUUGCCCUUGUUUGCUUCUAAUGUAAAUUUGAGGUCACUUGGUAGAAAUGCAACACCAUAGGGAGAUAUGAACACUCAUGGAAUUAGUGAAUGCUUGAAAAGGUAAAAUUCCUAUCCUUGCUGUAGUGAUUAUGAAUACCAGAUUUUUUGUCGUGUUUUUCUCUCUCCAUCUCUCUCUUUUUUUGUUGUAUAUAUAGCCAGUGAUAUUAAUGGCACUCUCGUGUCAGACUUAUUUUUCUAAAUGAAUACUAAGAAUGUUUAAGAGUUCACAUAAUCCAUCUCUAGAAAGGAUAUUUAGCUAAUCUUUCUCAUUUAAUAUACACACAAAAAACUAGACAGGUUUUCACCCAUAAACCUCUGUGGCAUAAAAUGAACAACAGCAACUUUGCCAGCAGUCCAUUUUUAUAAAUAUUCUGCUCAAACAUUUUAGACACGUUCUUUUUCUGGAACUUUAAUAUUCUGGAGGUGAUAAGCUUACACCUUGGAAGCAGCUGACAGUUUGUAAACUCAAGUGAUGAUGACUGCAGAAGCCAAAAUAUUUCUUGUCGUAAUACAUCAGGUCAACUCAUAAGAUGAUCUUGUUUGUUUGCAUUUCAAUGAGUUGCUAGUUGAGUGAUUUACACCAGCUGUUUCAAAAAGCAGGAUACAAGCGAUGUCCCGUGUAAUGAUGAGCUGAUGCUGGUUAAAACAUGGCCUUAGUGAUACGUGCUUAUUUGCUCACUUCUUCCACUUUUAUUUUGGUGGAAAGAUGUUCAGUUAAUUUUUUUUCUUUUGGUUUCUUUAUGAUUCUUCUCUUGCUGGCUUGGCCCAGUGCAAAGAACAUAGUUCAUAAGAGUAUAUAGAAAGAGCUAUUUUUGUGGUAUUACUGCCCUGCUAGCCCUAAUUAUCAUUAUGUCUCUUGAGAAAUAAGUGGUUCUAAUAGUCCUGGGCUUUUCCUAUCCAUGCUGCUUCUUCAGAAGAUAAUUGCUGUCUAUUUCAAACCUUUUCCCUGGCAGAGUAAGGAACGGUCAUGUCCUGUCUCCUCUCUUGCCUCUCUCCCCACCAUGCAUUAAUUUCUCUACAAAAAAUCUAAUAUAGCUCAUCUCUGCUUCUCACUGCAGGCUUCCCUGGCAACAACAACAGCUGAAAAACUUGUGUUUUCCUUUUUUAUAUACAUUUGCAGAUCUGUGAUAAGAAACAACAAAGUCAAAGGGUUCGAAAGUAAAAGUAUAGAAUGAAUUAGAUGUAAAUCUAUCCAAUAGCAAUGGUAUUUCAAAGAGUGUGUCUCAGCACUGCUUGCUGCCAGGCAGUUCAGAGAGAGCAGGAGAAUACCUACGCAUUUGGGCUCUCACGCUCUUUGACCUCCGACUACAGUCUAUCAAGUAUUUUAAAGCACUUAUUAUACCUCUAGUUAUAUUUCCAUAAAAUAUAGAAAUAUUUUCUUUGGGAAGACCAAAGCCUUAUAAACACACCGGGAAGAGCAACGUACAGCAAACAAUAACACAUAUGCUCUGAUCCUUCACUUGUUCCGUCCUGGUCCUCAGCAAGUCCUACAGUUGUGUGACAGAAAGGAGCACUCACGUCGCACAGGGAGGAAACAGCUGGUCUCUGGAUUUCCAGCGGGUAAACACAUAUGUCUUGAAUUAUUGUUCUGGAGCACAUGGGACGUGGAAAAAGAGCCUGGAUUUGUCCCCGAGCAUGGGAUCUACUACGACCUCCUGAUAAAGAAAAAAAAAAAUCCAUCAGUUUGAAGAUUUGUAUCCUGACACAAGGAUUUGUAUUCUGGCCAUCCAUUAGUCUUAGCCUAUCUGGUUCAUCCCAUUUGCAGAACCUACAAUUUUGUGGACUCUGAUGUGCUCUUUCUGAUAGACAGACACAGAAGGGUAACCCGGAGGUGCAGGCAUCUACUUAUACGCCGUAUGGAUGCAUUUUGAUAAUAACCACACGAGGGCAGAAAAGAACAGACAUCUGCGGACAGCCAGACGGCAGCCUGAUUUAAGAGAAGCGUCAAGUUCUGAUAUUUUUGUAAGGGAUUUUCUAUAUUUAUCCAUUCAAACGCACACACAUCUGGAAUUAUUUAAAUAUAAAUAUAUCGAUAGAACACAUGUACACAGUGAAUAUAUAUUUAUAGUGUGCAUUUGUAAAUAUGUAUUUCUGGCAAGUAUGAGGAAAAUCGGUUUGGUUUUAAUUUUGGAUUGGCCUCAGUAAGGAUCUGAGAAUAACAGAGGCAUAAAAACAACUGAACCAUAUUUCCCUCUCAUUAACAUAAGCUGACAGUGCUUUCUUCAGUCUUUACUACUGUACAGGUAGGAGGCUGCGAUUAAGCAAGACAAGGAUCAAACUCUGAAAUGGGGAGACCCAUACAAUCAUAAGGGUUUCCAUGAUCAGGGACACCCCCAUUUUACGAGCUUCAGAUGUCCUGUACUGAGCAACUGGAAGAAGCGAGUUUUGGUCAUAUAAAGCACAAGUCAAAAAAACGAACUUUGUUAUUACUAAUCUACACAGUUACACUGAAUACAUGGUGCAUACCAGUAUUUAAAAUCUCCCAGCCUCACUAAAUCAAAGUGAUCUCAGAUAUGCAAUACAUUUUUAUAGGCAGCCUUGUAAAAAUUAUUCGUCAUGCUUGUAUGUCUGGAAUGUGUCAACAACACUGCAGGCACUGAACCAGCUGAUAGUAAUUACUGGGGGGGGGGGGGGGGGGGGGAGAAGAAAAGAAAAAGAAUUAGGAGCAAAAUUAACAACUGAAUUAUAUGAGGAAAAUUAAAAGAAGCUUAAUUGAGCAGAAGACCGAAAGCCACUUCCCCAGAAAUCCUAUCCCAGCUUACCAUCUUAUUCCUUGUACAGUGCCAAAUAAACCUAACGUUUCUGUUUCUCGUUGUUUCGAGGAUUAAUUAGUGGCACAACAAUUGGGAAACAAAUAAAAUAACAGAAAAUGCAAAGCAUUGUUAUCAUGAGCUUGAAGGUCCCUGAUCUGAUGUGGGUGCACAAGUGGAUGGCCUCUGCAUUGCGAACUACAUAGAAGCAAUACUUUAAAGGUGGUUGAUUUCUGCUUACCAUUACAUACUUAAAAUGAGGAGAAAAUAAUUGUAAUUAAAGUUUAAAUUAUGUUAUGAUGAAAUUCAAGACACAACUUGUGCUGGUUAAGCACCUCCUACCUUCUAUUGCUCUGUGGGGCACACUUCAUAGCUCGUUACUGAAGGGCAGCUGCAACACAAACAGCAAGAGCCCACCAGUGCUACAGAUGCUGCAGUACCUGUGAGUAACAACAGCUCGAUCACCACAAAUACUUAAUUACACAACUGAAGGAGAGAGAACAUGGUGCAAAUAUCAGCAACCUGAUGCUAAGCUGUGUUUUCUUUAGUGCUUAUUGCAAGCGAGAGUAACACAAUAUGUCGGUGCUCAUUGGGCUGAGGGUCUGAGCCUCCGGCCUGGAUGACACAUUGCAGUACAGCACCCAGUACCUCUCCUCAUCCCCUGGUUUAAGCAUGAUGGGGACCAACAUUUCACACAGUCUAAUAGUGACAGGAUACAUGAGAAUGGCUUUAAACUGAAAGAGGGGAAUCUUAAGUUACAUGUUCAGGAGUUUUUUACUCAGAGGGAGGUGAGGCCCUGGCAUAGGCUGUCCAGAGAAGCUGCAGCUGCCCCAUCCCUGCAGGCAUUCAGAGGCCAGGCCAGAUGGAGUCCUGAGCAGCCUGGUCUGCUGGGGCAGCCCUGCCCACAGCAUGGAGUUGGGACUGGAUGGUCUUUAAGGUCCCUUCCAACCCAAGCCAUUGUGGGAUUCUGCAGGGAGAAAAGCAGCACUCCUGGCAUGCCCCAGUGACACCCAGAAUGGGGCACUGGGAUUGCAGGGGGUGCCCUCAGAUGUCUGCACACAGAACCUAGAUGUAGCCUGCACUACUCAAAGCAAUCCAGUAGUUUGCUUUUCCCUUUUUUUUUCUUUUUUCCUCCAUGGUUAGCUGCUCAGAAGAAAUAGAGCUGAAGCAUGGUUUGUGCCAGCUUUGCUGGAGACAAGCAGCCCUGUGCAAGAGAAGCAUUUCUUUCUCUCCCUCUUAUAUUCUGCACUCACUUAAGGAGCAAACAUACAUACAUCAGUAUUGGGAACUUGUGUCUCAAGUGUUGACUUCUUUCUGAGCUCCUGACCUCACCUGGAGAGGAGGGAGUUGAGAACCACAGCAGAACACUGAACCUGCCAGGACCCAAAUAGCCUUUAAGGGAAAGUAAGGGGAAACAACAAGAAGAGAUUUGAAGAAGUGCCUGUGAUCAAUCACCACACAGCCACUGUCUAAGUUGAUCUCUCACAAACGCACUGAAGCUCUUAAUGACUGUAUUGAUAUAAACAUAGCUGCUUCAUUAUGAAAUAAUAAUAAUAAUAAAAAUAAAUACUAAUUUUCAAAUUUUUUUAAAAAGAAUCUGGUUCUCUAAUCACCUGAGGGGAGAAAACUACAUAAUUUAGAUGUAUGACAUUUGCCCUUCCCACCAUCCAGUAACAACUACCUGUGGCAACAUUGGCAAACUCAUUACAGCUGCUCUUGUCUGUAGGUGGACCAUUUUUUCUGGAAGUUGGUCAGCAGGGUUGAAUUGCUUUGAUUUUAUGCAGCAAAAGAUGGUCAGUAACAAAGUCUGUACCAAACUCCAGCAUCACCUGAGAUUUUAAUGACUUUAAUGGCCAAAAUAUUGGUUUGCAACCUAAGAGCUCUUGCUAAAAUGUAAUUGUAAUGUGUAGCCUUAAAAAUAUUAUUAAAAAAAAAAAACAACCAACAACAGCACAGGAUAAUGGUAAUCUUGACACUGGAAAAGUACUUUAAUUCACAAAGGAAACAUACAGAAACCUAUUUUGUUGGUUAAGCAGAAUCAUAUCCACAUGCGAUUCGGAAGGUAUUGGAAAGCUUGGUGAAGAAUUGUACUAAUUUCGGAGUUAAUCAAUUGCACAGUGCUGGGACAGACUGCAGCUGGGGAGGCCUCGACAGUGGCAAUGGGAGGCAGAAAUGCUAAAGUGAGGGGAUGACUGAGCAGGCAAAAGGAGUUGAUUUAUAAGUCUGAUUUAACUUUUGUGCCUGGAGACAUAUCACAAGGGGUAGAAGAUUAAUUUGUCUUUUAAAUGAAUUUUAAAUAGUUAAUUUGUCCAUAAAACAAAGCAUGCUUUGAUUUAGAAUAUAUUUCUCCAUUGUUUGCCUUUGUUCAAAAAAUAGCCAUAUUUCUGAUGGCUAUCAGUACAACAAUAUUCUUAGUAAAAAUGCCAGUCAGAAUUCAUUAGUAGGUCAUAUGAAUAUAUCGUGCACAUCAAGGAAAAUAAUAGAAAAAUAACCAGGAUAUAAGUGGUUUUCUGCAAUUUGAUGGCAGCAGUCACACUUAACAUGUACAGCUGCUGCUUUGCUGCUACCAUGGGAUGUGGUUGUUGCUUCCCUUCCGAUGGCACAAGUUUAAAGCAAGCAUACACUACCACUGAUCAAAACAUUAAGUUUGACAGCUCCUGUAAGGACGCCCUGCCAGAGCUUGUCAUUAACAGGGGAAGAUACUCUGAGGCACUGACUAACAGGACAAACAUGGAAAACAAAGGCUACAAGCAUUAUGCACAGCUAUUGCAGUGAUGCUUCAACACGAUUUAUCUAUCUGCUAAAGCAGGCAUUUUUCUGACAUUAAUAUCUGGACUGACAUUCAGACUAAGUUGUCUUCUAUCUUUUCAGUGAAAUAUUUAACAGCUUUAGCUGCUUGCACUGUUUCUUUUACUAAAAAUGCUGUUAUUCAAAUUUGAUAGGAUUGUAUAGCCUUUCUGUCUUUUACGUGCUACUAUUUUCUUCUGUAAUAAAUUCAAAUCUGUUUUAGAGGAAACUGCUUUUUGUUUGAAACUGGUGAGUUUAAAAUAAAUAUUCUGUGAAACAGUUUCCAUCCACGAUGAUCCCGAACACCUCCUGCUCACACUCUUGCUAUGUAUUAUCUUGCUAAUGAUAGGAAUAAAUAUUUAUUAUUUUG
ensembl:lncRNA